GGCGUUAUUGUUGUUGUUGUCGAGUUUACGCAAGCCGAUUGCUUUGGGCCGGGCCUAGUCAAAGUCCAGGGCUGUUUUUUAGUCCCAGUUCGUCCCUGCAUACACACACAGUAAACCCAAUGGUUAAUGUAAUCAAAAGAAAAAAAUCACUUAUGUCCCUAUGGACGUAACACAAUAUCAUACAAACCUUGUAUUUAAAGAGAAAAUAUAGAGAACAAAGCGUACUUAUGAGUUUUAUAUUUUCUGUGAUUCGGUUAAGCUUGUUCACAAACCCGUCCUGUUCUAAGGGUUCUAAACAAAAUUGUUCACGAAUCGAAACUGAAUCGACUUGUGCAGUUCUCCAGUCAGCAUUCGAAAUGGCUCACUUUAUGUCGUUCAAUACUUGCUGAUAUGUCGCCAUGUGAAUAAGUGAACAAUUCUGGAGAGAGCUAUAGAGUUGUUUUUGUAAAUUAGUUUUAAUAGGCCAGUUAUGAGUUGUUUUUAUGUGUAAAUAACCUUUAAUUAUUACGAUUAAUGGAAAUAACUAAUUCCCAGAAAGAGCUCACCUAAUGCACAUUUCAAUCAUGAUCCAUCUAUGUGCUUUUUUAACAAAAUGUGUCUGGUCGAGUAUCUAAGACAAAAGAUGGACACGAAGUGCGUUCAUGUAAAGUAACUGACAGGACCAGAAGUAUUACCAUAUCAAUGUGGGACGAAUUGGGCAGCCUGAUACAAACUGGAGACAUCAUCUGACUCAAUCGAGGGUGACAGUUUAUUAUGGAUGAUAUUACUUACAUGCAUCUUAUCUAGAAGGUUUUGAUUUGUUCUUUAUUAUUAUAGUGUUUUUUUUUUCAGAUAUGCAUCUCUCUUCAAAGUCUGCAAAAGGAUAUUUGGAGAACAGGGGACCUUCAGAAGAUCGGAGAGUAGGCCUUCACAGCUGAUUACAAUGAUGACAAUAACCAGCACUUUCUUGCAUCUACUGUAUCAAAGGUUCCGUAUGAUUUUCAGUGAGCCCAACCCAGAAGUGCUGACUAAAAUCAAUCAAAUAAACAACACCCACGUAAAAGCAGAAGCUCAUGGCAGCACUCCCAGUGUACCGAAUCCUGGGCCUCCUGCAGGACCUACAGGUCGAACCUUUACAAGCUUGACAGAUUGAUUGAAAAAGGAAGCAGUUUUAAAAAACAAUUUAUUCACAAAAACGACCCCAGAGGCCUCAAGUAGUGUUAUAAGUAAAAGUGGAAAAAGUAAAUUAAAUGGACUGUGGUUUGAGAGUUUGUUCCAGACAAAAGCAUGCUCAUCAGCAUUUUCCAUUUAGUGAAUUUUUGUAAUAGAACAAGGAAGUGAAAAUGUUGUUUUUACACAAGCAUAGUUCCCUUUAAUCGGUAUAGCCAAUCACCUUCAUAACAUGCUAAAAUUAUGUUUUGAGGAAAUUUGUAUGGGGCAGUCAUGUUGUUAGCCAAUGGGGAAGCCUAGUGGUUAGAGAGUUAGACUCCUAACCUUUAGGUUAUGGGUUUCUAGUCUCGGGCUGGCAAUGCCACGACUGAACUGCUCCCUGGGCACCACAGCAUAGAUGGCUACCCUCUGCUACAGGUGUUUGUUCACUGCUGUGUGCACUUUUGAUGGGUUAAAUGCAGAGCACAAAUUCUGAGUAUGGGUCACCAUACUAGGCUGUAUGUCAUGUCACUUUCAUGUGUUUUUUUUUUGUUUGUUUGUUUGUUUAAUCUAUCAAGAAUGUUACAAAAUUACUAUUUAGAGUAUUUUCAUUUUAUUUUAUUUAUUUGUUUUGCCUCAGCAAACAGAGAUUUUGUGAUCAUAUCAAAUGGAAUAAAAAAACAUGUAUU